rnacentral:sRNA from 1 species
AAACCGAAACGUAUUACUGCUUCACG